GGAGCAAGUCAUGACCACUAGGGUGUCCUUUAAAAGAGAUGCUCUUUAAAUAUUUGUUCACUGUGUAUUUAGAGUAGAGGCUGAGAAUUUCAUGAGGGAAAGAGGAAAGGGACCAUCGCUCUGGAUAGUUAGACUGAAAUGGAGCUCAGGACCUCCUCUUAGCUCAGGAAGUUCCUGUUUUCUUCAAUGUCAAAUAGCAGUGAAAACAAAAAAUCUCCCACUUCCAGUUCUAGGAGAAUAUUAGGCUGCACAGAUCCAGAGACUAACUUCUGGAGUUCCAGGGAAGUGCUGAACCAGAUGUCCUGGUGCAUGAGGCCUGGUUUCUCUACCAUAGCAAAAUUUAGAAUCUGCAAAGUGGACACCAGCCUAACCUGUAACAUAGAAGUUCCUUGCCCUCAUGGAGUUCACGGAACUUGGAUAUAGAAAGAUGGACUUCUAGAUUAGCCUCCUGAAGGGUCCAAAAGAGUGAAGUCCAUCAAACAUGGAUGCAUAAGGUAGAGGAAAAGAGUGACACAGAAUCCGUUACAUGAUGCUGCUGAGCAAGAAUUUUCAGUUGAUGAGAAUUACAUAUUAAAUAUGAAGCCCUUCAGGAAUCUGUUUCUUUCUAUCAGUGCGGUCUACCUUGUUGAUUUUUCAACAAAAUU
rnacentral:lncRNA from 1 species